rnacentral:rRNA from 1 species
CUACGGGUUGCACCAGUGGGGAAUAUUGCACAAUGGGCGCAAGCCUGAUGCAGCCAUGCCGCGUGUAUGAAGAAGGCCUUCGGGUUGUAAAGUACUUUCAGCGGGGAGGAAGGGAGUAAAGUUAAUACCUUUGCUCAUUGACGUUACCCGCAGAAGAAGCACCGGCAAACUCCGUGCCAGCAGCCGCGGUAAUACGGAGGGUGCAAGCGUUAAUCGGAAUUACUGGGCGUAAAGCGCACGCAGGCGGUUUGUUAGGUCAGAUGUGAAAUCCCCGGGCUCAACCUGGGAACUGCAUCUGAUACUGGCAAGCUUGAGUCUCGUAGAGGGGGGUAGAAUUCCAGGUGUAGCGGUGAAAUGCGUAGAGAUCUGGAGGAAUACCGGUGGCGAAGGCGGCCCCCUGGACGAAGACUGGCGCUCAGGUGCGAAAGCGUGGGGAGCAAACAGGAUUAGAUACCCUUGUAGUC